GCUCGAGUGGCGGAAUCGGCAGACGCAGUGGACUCAAAAUCCACCGGGAUAAAACCCUUGAGGGUUCAAGUCCCUCCUCGAGCACCA
rnacentral:tRNA from 1 species